rnacentral:rRNA from 1 species
AACGAACGCUGGCGGCAGGCUUAACACAUGCAAGUCGAGCGCCCCGCAAGGGGAGCGGCAGACGGGUGAGUAACGCGUGGGAAUCUACCCAUCUCUACGGAAUAACGCAUGGAAACGUGUGCUAAUACCGUAUACGUCCUUCGGGAGAAAGAUUUAUCGGAGAUGGAUGAGCCCGCGUUGGAUUAGCUAGUUGGUGGGGUAAAGGCCUACCAAGGCGACGAUCCAUAGCUGGUCUGAGAGGAUGAUCAGCCACACUGGGACUGAGACACGGCCCAGACUCCUACGGGAGGCAGCAGUGGGGAGUAUUGGACAAUGGGCGCAAGCCUGAUCCAGCCAUGCCGCGUGAGUGAUGAAGGCCCUAUGGUUGUAAAGCUCUUUCGGCGGGGACGAUAAUGACGGUACCCGCAGAAGAAGCCCCGGCUAACUUCGUGCCAGCCGCCGCUGUAACAC